AAUCAACGCUGGCGGCGUGCCUCAGACAUGCAAGUCGAACGAUUAAAGCUCCCUUCGGGGAGUGCAUAGAGUGGCGCACGGGUGAGUAACACGUAAGUAAUCUACCUUUGAGUGGGGAAUAACGUUCGGAAACGGACGCUAAUACCGCAUAAUGCAGCGGCAUCGCAAGAUGACAGUUGUUAAAGGAGCAAUCCGCUUAAAGAGGAGCUUGCGGCAGAUUAGCUUGUUGGUAAGGUAACGGCUUACCAAGGCUACGAUCUGUAUCCGGUCUAAGAGGACGGUCGGACACACUGACACUGAAUAACGGGUCAGACUCCUACGGGAGGCAGCAGUCGGGAAUUUGGGCAAUGGGCGAAAGCCUGACCCAGCAACGCCGCGUGAAGGAUGAAGUAUUUCGGUAUGUAAACUUCGAAAGAAUAGGAAGAAUAAAUGACGGUACUAUUUAUAAGCUCCGGCUAACUACGUGCCAGC
rnacentral:rRNA from 1 species